UACGUAGGGCGCAAGCGUUGUCCGGAAUUAUUGGGCGUAAAGAGCUCGUAGGCGGUCUGUCGCGUCGGCUGUGAAAACCCGAGGCUCAACCUCGGGCCUGCAGUCGAUACGGGCAGACUAGAGUGCGGUAGGGGAGAUUGGAAUUCCUGGUGUAGCGGUGGAAUGCGCAGAUAUCAGGAGGAACACCAAUGGCGAAGGCAGAUCUCUGGGCCGUAACUGACGCUGAGGAGCGAAAGCAUGGGGAGCGAACAGG
rnacentral:rRNA from 1 species